rnacentral:rRNA from 1 species
AUUGAACGCUGGCGGCAUGCCUUACACAUGCAAGUCGAACGGUAACAGGUCUUCGUAUGCUGACGAGUGGCGAACGGGUGAGUAAUACAUCGGAACGUGCCUAGUAGUGGGGGAUAACUACUCGAAAGAGUGGCUAAUACCGCAUGAGAUCUACGGAUGAAAGCAGGGGAUCGCAAGACCUUGUGCUACUAGAGCGGCCGAUGGCAGAUUAGGUAGUUGGUGGGAUAAAAGCUUACCAAGCCGACGAUCUGUAGCUGGUCUGAGAGGACGAUCAGCCACACUGGGACUGAGACACGGCCCAGACUCCUACGGGAGGCAGCAGUGGGGAAUUUUGGACACUGGGCGCAAGCCUGAUCCAGCAAUGCCGCGUGCAGGAUGAAGGCCUUCGGGUUGUAAACUGCUUUUGUACGGAACGAAAAGCCCUGGGUUAAUACCCUGGGGUCAUGACGGUACCGUAAGAAUAAGCACCGGCUAACUACGUGCCAGCCGCCGCAGUAAAAC